rnacentral:rRNA from 1 species
UCCCCCUACGGAGGCAGCAGUAGGGAAUCUUCCACAAUGGGCGAAAGCCUGAUGGAGCAACGCCGCGUGGGUGAAGAAGGUCUUCGGAUCGUAAAACCCUGUUGUUAGAGAAGAAAGUGCGUGAGAGUAACUGUUCACGUUUCGACGGUAUCUAACCAGAAAGCCGCGGCUAACUACGUGCCAGCAGCCGCGGUAAUACGUAGGUGGCAAGCGUUAUCCGGAUUUAUUGGGCGUAAAGGGAACGCAGGCGGUCUUUUAAGUCUGAUGUGAAUGCCUUCGGCUUAACCGGAGUAGUGCAUUGGAAA